rnacentral:tRNA from 1 species
AAACCUUUAGUUGAGUAACAAUAGAAAAUUGCAAGUUUUCAGGGGUAGGGUUUU